rnacentral:rRNA from 1 species
GGCAACGGGUGAGUAUAAUGUGGGAAUCUGCCUUUUGGUUUGGAAUAACACGGGGAAACUUGUGCUAAUACCGAAUAAGCCCUUACGGGGAAAGUUUUAAUGCCGAAAGAUGAGCCCGCACUUGAUUAGCUAGUUGGUAAGGUAAAAGCUUACCAAGGCAACGAUCAAUAGCUGUUCUUAGAGGAAGACCAGCCACAUUGGGACUGAGACACGGCCCAGACUCCUACGGGAGGCAGCAGUGGGGAAUCUUGCACAAUGGGGGAAACCCUGAUGCAGCGAUGCCGCGUGAGUGGAGAAGGCCCUUGGGUUGUAAAACUCUUUCGUCGGGGAAGAAAAUGACUGUACCCGAAUAAGAAGGUCCGGCUAACUUCGUGCCAGCAGCCGCGGUAAUACGAAGGGACCUAGCGUAGUUCGGAAUUACUGGGCUUAAAGAGCUC